rnacentral:tRNA from 1 species
AAAAAAAGAACUCAUGGAAGAGAACAUUUGUUUUACACGUGGAAAGUUAAAUGUUCAAACCACUUAUUUUUUA